rnacentral:rRNA from 1 species
GGAAUAUUGGACAAUGGGGGCAACCCUGAUCCAGCCAUGCCGCGUGUGUGAAGAAGGCCUUCGGGUUGUAAAGCACUUUCAGUGGUGAGGAAAGGUGUGUGGUUAAUACCCGCAUACUGUGACGUUAGCCACAGAAGAAGCACCGGCUAACUCCGUGCCAGCAGCCGCGGUAAUACGGAGGGUGCGAGCGUGAAUCGGAAUUACUGGGCGUAAAGCGCGCGUAGGCGGCUAAGUAAGCCGGUUGUGAAAGCCCCGGGCUCAACCUGGGAACGGCAUCCGGAACUGUUUAGCUAGAGUGCAGGAGAGGAAGGUAGAAUUCCCGGUGUAGCGGUGAAAUGCGUAGAGAUCGGGAGGAAUACCAGUGGCGAAGGCGGCCUUCUGGACUGACACUGACGCUGAGGUGCGAAAGCGUGGGUAGCA